rnacentral:rRNA from 1 species
UACGGAGGGUGCGAGCGUUGUCCGGAAUCACUGGGCGUAAAGGGCGCGUAGGCGGCAUGCCAAGCGUGUGGUGAAAGCUCGGGGCUCAACCCCGGGUCGGCCGUGCGAACUACUGGGCUGGAGCACUGUAGAGGCAGGCGGAAUUCCGGGUGUAGCGGUGGAAUGCGUAGAGAUCCGGAAGAACACCGGUGGCGAAGGCGGCCUGCUGGGCAGUUGCUGACACUGAGGCGCGACAGCGUGGGGAGCAAACAGG